rfam:Lysinibacillus sp. F5 Contig8, whole genome shotgun sequence.
GAGGAAGUGUGCAAGGAAUGCAUAUCCCUUUUGAAAAGGGCUUACAGGUUCGAUUCCUGUCAUCCUCA